UACAGAGGUCUCAAGCGUUGCUCGGAAUCACUGGGCGUAAAGGGUGCGUAGGCGGCCGUGCAAGUCUGGCGUGAAAGCCCCGGGCUCAGCCCGGGAAGUGCGCUCGAAACUGCGCGGCUCGAGUGCCGGAGGGGAGAGUGGAAUUCCUGGUGUAGCGGUGAAAUGCGUAGAUAUCAGGAGGAAUACCGGUGGCGAAAGCGACUCUCUGGACGGCAACUGACGCUGAGGCACGAAAGCGUGGGGAGCAAACAGG
rnacentral:rRNA from 1 species